CCAACAGGGAUUGCCUCAGUAACGGCGAGUGAAGCGGCAACAGCUCAAAUUUGAAAUCUGGCCCUAGGCCCGAGUUGUAAUUUGCAGAGGAUGCUUCUGGCGCGGUGCCUUCCAAGUCCCCUGGAACGGGGCGCCAUAGAGGGUGAGAGCCCCGUCUGGUUGGCCGCCAAGCCUGUGUGAAGCUCCUUCGACGAGUCGAGUAGUUUGGGAAUGCUGCUCUAAAUGGGAGGUAGACCCCUUCUAAAGCUAAAUAUUGGCCAGAGACCGAUAGCGCACAAGUAGAGUGAUCGAAAGAUGAAAAGCACUUUGAAAAGAGGGUUAAACAGUACGUGAAAUUGUUGAAAGGGAAGCGCUUGUGACCAGACGUGCGUCGGGGUGUUCAGCGGGCGUUCUCGCCCGUGCACUCGCCCCGGCGCAGGCCAGCGUCGGUUCGGGCGGGGGGACAAAGGCGUUGGGAACGUAGCUCCUCCGGGAGUGUUAUAUCCCAGCGUGCCAUGCCCCCGCCUGGACCGAGGUUCGCGCUCCGCAAGGACGCUGGCGUAAUGGUCCCCAGCGGCCCGUCUUGAAACACGGACCAAGGAGUCGAGGUUUUGCGCGAGUGUUUGGGUGUCAAACCCGCACGCGUAAUGAAAGUGAACGCAGGUGGGAGCUUCGGCGCACCACCGACCGAUCCUGAUGUUCUCGGAUGGAUUUGAGUAAGAGCGUAGGGCCUCGGACCCGAAAGAUGGUGAACUAUACGUGAAUAGGGUGAAGCCAGAGGAAACUCUGGUGGAGGCUCGCAGCGGUUCUGACGUGCAAAUCGAUCGUCAAAUUUGCGUAUGGGGGCGAAAGACUAAUCGAACCAU
rnacentral:rRNA from 1 species